rnacentral:rRNA from 1 species
CCCUUAGAUGUUCUGGGCCGCACGCGCGCUACAAUGAUGAAUUCAACGAGUUUAUAACCUUGGUUGAAAAGCCUGGGUAAUCUUUUGAACUUUCGUCGUGAUGGGGCUAGACCCUUGCAAUUAUUGGUCUCCAACGAGGAAUUCCUAGUAAACGCAAGUCAUCAGCUUGCAUUGAUUACGUCCCUGCCCUUUGUACACACCGCCCGUCGCACCUACCGAUUGAAUGGUCCGGUGAAAUCUUCGGAUUGAGACUUUGAUUUGUUUACUCAAAACGCUGUUUCAAGAAGUUGAUUAAACCUUACCAUUUAGAGGAAGAUGAAGUCGUAACA